CCUUAUGCAUGCACGUCGAGCGAAGCUUUUUGGUAGUUUACUACUAGAAAUGACUGAGCGGCGAACGGGUGAGUAACGCGUGAGCAAUCUACCUUAGUUACUGGGAUAGCCCGAGGAAACUCGGAUUAAUACCAGAUAUUCUUAUUUUUUCACAUGAAGUUUUAAGGAAAGGUCAGCCGAACUAAGAUGAGCUCGCGUUCUAUCAGCUAGUUGGUGGGGUAAAAGCCUACCAAGGCUACGACGGAUAGCUGGUCUGAGAGGACGAUCAGCCACACUGGGACUGAGACACGGCCCAGACUCCUACGGGAGGCUGCAGCAGGGAAUAUUGUGCAAUGAGCGAAAGCUUGACACAGCGACACCGCGUGUGGGAUGACGGUUCUAGGAUUGUAAACCACUUUCAGGAGGGAAGAAAAUGACGGUACCUCCAUAAGAAGACCCGGCCAACUAUGUGCCAGCGGCCGCGGUAAUACAUAGGGGUCAAGCGUUGUCCGGAUUUAUUGGGCGUAAAGAGCUCGUAGGCGGUUCAACAAGUCGGUCGUAAAAGUUUAGGGCUCAACCCUAAAAUGUCGAUCGAUACUGUUGUGACUAGGAUACGGUAGAGGUGAAUGGAAUUCCGAGUGUAGCGGUGAAAUGCGUAGAUAU
rnacentral:rRNA from 1 species